AGCGGCGGAUGGGUGAGUAACACGUGGGGAACCUGCCCCUAAGUCUGGGAUACCAUUUGGAAACAGGUGCUAAUACCGGAUAAUAAAGCAGAUCGCAUGAUCAGCUUUUGAAAGGCGGCGUAAGCUGUCGCUAAGGGAUGGCCCCGCGGUGCAUUAGCUAGUUGGUAAGGUAACGGCUUACCAAGGCGACGAUGCAUAGCCGAGUUGAGAGACUGAUCGGCCACAUUGGAACUGAGACACGGCCCAAACUCCUACGGGAGGCAGCAGUAGGGAAUCUUCCACAAUGGACGCGAGUCUGAUGGAGCAACGCCGCGUGAGUGAAGAAGGUUUUCGGAUCGUAAAGCUCUGUUGUUGGUGAAGAAGGAUAGAGGUAGUAACUGGCCUUUAUUUGACGGUAAUCAACCAGAAAGUCACGGCUAACUACGUGCCAGCAGCCGCGGUAAUACGUAGGUGGCAAGCGUUGUCCGGAUUUAUUGGGCGUAAAGCGAGCGCAGGCGGAAAAAUAAGUCUAAUGUGAAAGCCCUCGGCUUAACCGAGGAACUGCAUCGGAAACUGUUUUUCUUGAGUGCAGAAGAGGAGAGUGGAACUCCAUGUGUAGCGGUGGAAUGCGUAGAUAUAUGGAAGAACACCAGUGGCGAAGGCGGCUCUCUGGUCUGCAACUGACGCCGAGGCUCGGAAGCAUGGGUAGCGAACAGGAUUAGAUACCCUGGUAGUCCAUGCCGUAAACGAUGAGUGCUAAGUGU
rnacentral:rRNA from 1 species